CUCGGGAGCCCCCACCCAGGCUCAUGGCUCCAUGAAGCAAGAGGAGGAGGCAGAGCGCGAGAGGUCCGUCCGCCCCAGCCGCGUCUGGGCCAGGAGAAAAGCAAAACCAUAUUCCUGCUGCUGUCAGUUAUGAUGCACUGAGAAAACUUCAGAGACCUAAGCUUUUUCCAGAGAAGAGAAGCUUUACUGGUGUUCCAGCCCUAAGGCUCAUAUGACAUUAACAGACAAGACACUUUUCAGAAAGACAGGCAACGUGUUGGACCUUCCUGAGCUUCUCAGAAGACAGAGGAUUUUCUUUUGAG
rnacentral:antisense_RNA from 1 species